GGGGAAUUUUGGACAAUGGGGGAAACCCUGAUCCAGCCAUCCCGCGUGUGCGAUGAAGGCCUUCGGGUUGUAAAGCACUUUUGGCAGGAAAGAAACGGCGCGUGCUAAUACCAUGCGCAACUGACGGUACCUGCAGAAUAAGCACCGGCUAACUACGUGCCAGCAGCCGCGGUAAUACGUAGGGUGCAAGCGUUAAUCGGAAUUACUGGGCGUAAAGCGUGCGCAGGCGGUUCGGAAAGAAAGAUGUGAAAUCCCAGGGCUCAACCUUGGAACUGCAUUUUUAACUACCGGACUAGAGUAUGUCAGAGGGAGGUGGAAUUCCACGUGUAGCAGUGAAAUGCGUAGAUAUGUGGAGGAACACCGAUGGCGAAGGCAGCCUCCUGGGAUAAUACUGACGCUCAUGCACGAAAGCGUGGGGAGCAAAC
rnacentral:rRNA from 1 species